rnacentral:rRNA from 1 species
UGGGGAAUAUUGCACAAUGGGCGAAAGCCUGAUGCAGCAACGCCGCGUGAAGGAAGAAGGGUUUCGGCUCGUAAACUUCUAUCAACAGGGACGAAGGAAGUGACGGUACCUGAAUAAGAAGCCCCGGCUAACUACGUGCCAGCAGCUGCGGUAAUACGUAGGGGGCAAGCGUUAUCCGGAAUUACUGGGUGUAAAGGGUGAGUAGGCGGCAUGGUAAGCCAGAUGUGAAAGCCUUGGGCUUAACCCGAGGAUUGCAUUUGGAACUGUCAAGCUAGAGUACAGGAGAGGAAAGCGGAAUUCCUAGUGUAGCGGUGAAAUGCGUAGAUAUUAGGAAGAACACCAGUGGCGAAGGCGGCUUUCUGGACUGAAACUGACGCUGAGGCACGAAAGCGUGGGGAGCGAACAGGAUUAGAUACC